UCCCCUCUCUUUCCCUUUCAAUUCAAAUGUUCAAUCCGCUCAUCAGCCGUUGUUUACAAUUAUCAUCAGAAUCAUCAUCAACGUCUUAUUUUUCUUACCUUCUUCAACUGAUUAUCCUUGAUGGUAUUAAAUAGGAAAAAGCCUCUGUUCAAUUCAACAUCAGCCAAGGAAAAUGAUUCAAUCUUCAAUACUGUUAAAAUUUAAAUGAAUCAGGCCAUAUCAAGUUCUGAUGACUCUCUUCAAUUUAUUUUUUUGCUGUUGCUUACCCAAUGUGAAACAAAUUACAACUUUAACCUGACCAUUCUUUGAUUAUAAAUGAACUUCAAUGUAACUAAUUUAACGGCAGAUUGAUUCAAGUUCAACGUUUAUUACCGCCCUUGCUGGAAAGUCUAAAGGGAUAAAUGAUCUUCUUGCUGGAAAGUCUCUUUUUUGUCCUCAACUCUGUUAAUCUGCUGAUAGUUCACGAUAAUUUACGUGAAUUUUACUCUUAAUGCAAUCCAUUUAAUUUGGAACCAUCUGUUUACCAUGCAAUUUCAUUAAUGUGCAUCCAACAGAUUGAAUUUCAUCUUUAAGAUACAUGAUCAUUAUUUAAUUGAAUAAUUGCUGAUAGUGAAGCCAAGUUAAAGCAAUAAUAAUAUCGUCUACCAACAAGCAAGGAAAAUCAAAGCAUGUAGUACGUUUUACAUGUAAAAAGCUAUUGUCGUAUAUCAAGUCACCUUAAUCUUGUUAAUCAUGGUUCAGUGAUUUACUUUUUCUCAUGCAAAUCAAAGUGAUUACGGAAGUGAAGAGUUUGCAAGGAAAGGUCAAAUAGUAUAGAUAACAUUAUUAAUAAAAAUAAGAUUAAAGAUCAACAGCCUUGAAUGUGAAACUCAAUGGACUCUACAAUCAAAAUUGGCUCCAGUUAUCAAUUGAAUGGAGAAAGACAAUGAUGGUUUUGGAGUGAAAUUAAAGGCAAUACAUCAGUUAAUAAAAGUGGUUGGACACAUGAUUGAAUCUUUGGCCAACAAUUGUAUUAAACCAGCCAUAAUAAGCCGUAAAAAAUUAAAGACUUGGACAUGGAUAAUUUCAUUUGUUAUUGGCACCGAGAAAUACACUGAAACGGAAUGGAUAUUUCGAGUUAUUUAUACUUUACAUUUUCGUGAAAAUAACCCAAAAGGGCUAAUCCCACGAAGGGACAUCGGAAAUAUUGACUGCAUUUGUUAAAUGAGUUAAUUGGGUUGUGGUUAACCAGAUCAGCCAUUGAGACAUUGAAUUCAGUCUCCUGUCUACCAUAAAAAAUGGAUCAAACAGAAAUCUGGUUUUCAAGUUUCACUGUUCACUGGUGACAUUGAUUAACCCGGUGAUCAUUUAAGAUGCAAUGUAAACGGAACGAUGACUUCACGAAAUGUUAUGAAAGGAAAACCUGGAGCCAUAAAUAGAAAUGAUAAUCAUCCUUGUUCCUGUCUAAUCAUGAACAACUCUCGUUGAAGCAUCUCAAAUCUCAGUGUUGUCAGCAAUCCUAACAGUCUCUGAAUUAAUGGGCUUCUUACAAUUAAUAAUCACAUGAACUGGAUACCAAUCAUAAUCAUUUUUGUAAAGCAAACCUAACUGCAAUCGAUUACUGGUCUUUCCCUGUUUCAUUGUCUUUCCAUCUAAUAACUGUCCUAAUUAAGAAGGAUUCAAACCUGAGGUUAUCCAGACAAAAGCAGAUAGAAACUGAAAACGCUUUCCAUAAUCUUUAAUCAUCUACGGAUUAUUAUGGAAUAGAGGAAUUGGAUUGUCUCGAGAAGUGAUUGAAUUGGAAUAGUUAUUCAAGUCUAUUCUGUAUAUUAAUGGAAAGAUUAUUAUGAAGACAUUUUAAUCUGAAUUUCAGGAGAGUCCCAAUCGAUUUACAGUGAACUAAUAGAGGAAUAUGAUUUUUUCAUGAUCAACUCAGCUUAUUUUAAGCUUUUGUUUGAUAUAGUAUUCAAUAAUUUUUGUGAAAAUUUUAGGCUAAAAUUAUCCUUCUUUAUUUAUAAGUUGUAACUCUUUUGGUUAAUAUCAUUACAUCUUUUAUCUUGUUUA